GAUGAACGCUAGCGGCAGGCCUAACACAUGCAAGUCGAGGGGUAGAAGCUUUCGGGCUUUGAGACCGGCGCACGGGUGCGUAACGCGUAUGCAAUCUGCCUUGUACUGAGGGAUAGCCCAGAGAAAUUUGGAUUAACACCUCAUAGUAUCUUAGUGUGGCAUCACAUUAUUAUUAAAGGUUACGGUACAAGAUGAGCAUGCGUCCCAUUAGCUAGUUGGUAUGGUAACGGCAUACCAAGGCUACGAUGGGUAGGGGUCCUGAGAGGGAGAUCCCCCACACUGGUACUGAGACACGGACCAGACUCCUACGGGAGGCAGCAUUGAGGAAUAUUGGUCAAUGGUCGCAAGACUGAACCAGCCAUGCCGCGUGCAGGAUGAAGCAUCUAUGGUGUGUAAACUGCUUUUGUACGGGAAGAAACACCGCUACGUGUAGCGGCUUGACGGUACCGUAAGAAUAAGGAUCGGCUAACUCCGUGCCAGCCGCCGCAGUAAAAC
rnacentral:rRNA from 1 species